CACUUAAUUUCCGUGCAGCAGCGCGUAGUACUGGAGUGGCCAGCGUAUCAUGAUAACGGCGUUAAGCGUUCGCAGCCGACGUUUCAGGUCUGGCUGGUAAAACGUGGGAGCUAACUCCAUCAAGGGCAGUGGGAAACUGUUGGGCUUGAGUGUGGUAGGGGCAGAGGGGAAUUUCCCGGUGUAGCGGUGAAAUGCGUAGAUAUCGGGAAGAACACCCAGUGGCGAAGGCGCUCUGCUGGGCCAUAACUGACGCUCAUGGACGAGAGCCAGGGGAGCGAAAGGGAUUAGAUACCCCUGUAGUCCUGGCCGUAAACGAUGAACACUAGGUGUCGGGGGAAUCGACCCCCUCGGUGUCGUAGCCAACGCGUUAAGUGUUCCGCCUGGGGAGUACGCACGCAAGUGUGAAACUCAAAGGAAUUGACGGGGGCCCGCACAAGCGGUGGAGUAUGUGGUUUAAUUCGAUGCAACGCGAAGAACCUUACCAGGGUUUGACAUCCUGCGAACCUCGAAGAAAUUUGAGGGUGCCUUCGGGAACGCAGUGACAGGUGGUGCAUGGCUGUCGUCAGCUCGUGUCGUGAGAUGUUGGGUUAAGUCCCGCAACGAGCGCAACCCACGUUUUUAGUUGCCAGCAUUCAGUUGGGCACUCUAGAGAGACCGCCGGUGAUAAACCGGAGGAAGGUGUGGACGACGUCAAGUCAUCAUGCCCCUUACAUCCUGGGCUACACACGUACUACAAUGCUACGGACAAAGGGCAGCGAACUCGCGAGGGCAAGCAAAUCCCAUAAACCGUGGCUCAGUUCAGAUCGUAGGCUGCAACUCGCCUACGUGAAGCAGGAAUCGCUAGUAAUCGCAGGUCAGCAUACUGCGGUGAAUACGUUCCCGGGCCUUGUACACACCGCCCGUCACACCAUGGAAGUUGGCCACGCCCGAAGUCGUUACUCCAACCCUUGUGGAGGAGGACGCCGAAGGUGGGGCUAAUGACUGGGGUGAAGUCGUAACAAGGUAACC
rnacentral:rRNA from 1 species